rnacentral:lncRNA from 1 species
GUUUGUAUAAAAAAUAUCCCACAUUCAUUUUCGAUCCCUGGAAUCGUAACGAGAUGAUGCCCAAAUCAAGGUUGGUCAGACGAUAUGAUAGGAGGCGUCGCCUACGGUCAUUGUUAUAAGUGACUCGCCUAAUGAGUUUGUUGCUUCAGCGACAAACAAAUGGAUUUCUCUAUCGGACGACGAGGUCACGUCUCCUGUCAUGAAAGCUCCGGCAGCCCGGAAACUGGUUUUCAAUGAUGAUGCCGAGUCGAGCACUGCGCCUCUAAAGCUAACAAUCCCUCACCUUUACUAUGUGUGGCCGCCGAUCGAGCGCCGCCUAGCCGUCCCACCAGCAAAUGCAUUUCCAGGCAGAUACAAAGCAAAAAAGAUGGCAAAGAUAAAGGCAUUGACCAUAGCUCGUGUGCAUCUUCUAGCCCGCAUAAUAAAGACUCCUACCAUGAAGAAUGAUCGUUGCAAGUUGUCGGUGAAUACUCCAUCUCAUUUUGUUGUUUUGUGUUUGCAACUGGACGGUCUUAUUAAGCA